rnacentral:rRNA from 1 species
GAUGAACGCUGGCGGCGUGCCUAAUACAUGCAAGUCGAGCGAACAGAUGAGGAGCUUGCUCCUCUGACGUUAGCGGCGGACGGGUGAGUAACACGUGGAUAACCUACCUAUAAGACUGGGAUAACUUCGGGAAACUGGAGCUAAUACCGGAUAAUAUAUUGAACCGCAUGGUUCAAUAGUGAAAGACGGUUUUGCUGUCACUUAUAGAUGGAUCCGCGCCGCAUUAGCUAGUUGGUAAGGUAACGGCUUACCAAGGCAACGAUGCGUAGCCGACCUGAGAGGGUGAUCGGCCACACUGGAACUGAGACACGGUCCAGACUCCUACGGGAGGCAGCAGUAGGGAAUCUUCCGCAAUGGGCGAAAGCCUGACGGAGCAACGCCGCGUGAGUGAUGAAGGUCUUCGGAUCGUAAAACUCUGUUAUUAGGGAAGAACAAAUGUGUAAGUAACUAUGCACGUCUUGACGGUACCUAAUCAGAAAGCCACGGCUAACUACGUG